UGGAGUGUCUGCACGCCAGCUCAGGGGUGGCCAGGGCCCUGACAACCUGAAACUGUCUGAAUGUCCUGACAACUUGGGGUGUGAGGGAUCCCGCYGCCGGGCAGUCACCCCGUGAGCCUCCUUCCCGGACACAGCAACAGGAAGGCUCACCCCGCGUGGCUCUGAUUGACAGCUGUUCUGGAAGCAGCAACUUCCCGGCCUGAUGCUGGGAUCCCUCCCUGGGAGGCCUGGAGGGAGGAGCUUCGGCGGCUGCUUUAAUAUUUUAAAAAACAGAAUAAGCUUACUAUAUCCGGCGGCUCCGAAUCCGUCUGCCUUUUCCUUAGGGAUGAAAAUCUCUGUUGGCUGCGAGCAGAGAAGCGCCGGAAAGACUCGCGACUGCGGGAGGCGAGGUGUCGGAAGGAGGAGAGAUGAAAUCAUGGAGCUUAUCGCUGUCGAGGACGGAGUCAGAACCUCCCAGACUCAGACCCUUCUCUAGAAGACACCGGCUUCCUGCUCUUGACGGCCACGACCAGCGACCGGCCGGAAAGAACAACCCAGGUGCCCCGUGUGGAGGAUGUUUGAACGCCUGGCGGCAGAACCAGCUCCUGUGCAGCACGCACUCAGUGUGUGGCCUGCUUUGUCCCCUCCCCACCUGUGGCCCUGGCUCCCCCUCUGCAUUCUCCUGAGAGCCCCCACCCCGACGGCUGAAUGGGAAUCUCUGGCUCAGUCGAGAACYGGACCUGGCAGGCCCCCACCACUUCAGCUGCCCACUGUGCGCCAGGGUCCCUGCAUCCUGGGUGCACCCCUGGAUCACACCAUCUGCUCCUCCCAACAGGGCCACCGGCUUGCUCUCUGAUCAGGGCUCCCACUUGCAGACGGGAACACCGGGGCACAGAGAGGUCAAGUGACCAGCCCAAGGCCACAGAGCUAUUAAAGGAGGGAGUCUGUCACUUCCAGCCUUGCGUCUGUGACAGUCCYGAAGAUGUCCUGGCCUCUGCCUGGUCUGUCUGCAGGUGGACAGGUGUCUGGGACAGCAGAGACCGGCCUCCCUGCCUCCCCCCGGCUUCCUUUAGGAACAGCGUGGUCUGAGCCGACUAUAAAAAGCGUUGCUCCCCGAAAACUGGGGCAGCCCAGGCUGCUCCCCCAGAGGCUUUUUUCUGCAAGCUCCUCUGUUCUCUCCAGGAAACUCUUGGGACGUUGCUGGGCAUCAAAAAGGAAAGCGAACCAUCCCUUUCUUAUAUAAUUAAUCCCCAAAGCAGCACAGAUGCUGCCAGGUCCUGGAAAGAGAGGGGACCUUCUCCACCAGGGUCGGCGGGCGGCGGAGGCCACCGAGGGCAGAGGGGUCGGCAGGUCGCUCCUUCCGUCCACAAACAUCCUCUGAAUGGGGACUUGGUGCAAAGUCUGCGCUGACCCUGGGGACCUACGGUCCCCAAAGAUCUCAGGGUAUCGCUCUAAUCUCAACUGUUAAAGGAGAAGGGGGUCCCGCCGGACCACCUCCGACCCGGGUCACACCAUCUUCUCCCCAAAACUGAAUACAAACACGUGGACUUUCAGGAAU